CCAAUAGCGUAUAUUAAAGUUGUUGCAGUUAAAAAGCUCGUAGUUGAAUUUCGGGGUUAGUAGGUCGGUCAUGCCACUGGUAUGCACUGGUCUCACUGAUUCCUCCUUCCUGAUGAACCGUAAUGCCAUUAAUUUGGUGUUGCGGGGAGACUGGGCUGUUACUUUGAAAAAAUUAGAGUGUUUAAAGCAGGCUAACGCUUGAAUACAUUAGCAUGGAAUAAUGAAAUAGGACGUUCGAUCCUAUUUUGUUGGUUUCUAGGAUUGACGUAAUGAUUAAUAGGGAUAGUUGGGGGCAUUAGUAUUCAAUUGUCAGAGGUGAAAUUCUUGGAUUUAUUGAAGACUAACUACUGCGAAAGCAUUUGCCAAGGAUGUUUUCAUUAAUCAAGAACGAAAGUUAGGGGAUCGAAGACGAUCAGAUACCGUCGUAGUCUUAACCAUAAACUAUGCCGACUAGGGAUCGGAUGAUGUUAAUUUUUUAAUGACUCAUUCGGCGCCUUACG
rnacentral:rRNA from 1 species